UCCUGGUGUAGCGGUGGAAUGCGCAGAUAUCAGGAGGAACACCAAUGGCGAAGGCAGGACUCUGGGCCAUUACUGACACUGAGGAGCGAAAGCGUGGGGAGCGAACAGGAUUAGAUACCCUGGUAGUCCACGCCGUAAACGGUGGGCACUAGUUGUGGGGACCUUCCACGGUCUCUGCGACGCAGCUAACGCAUUAAGUGCCCCGCCUGGGGAGUACGAUCGCAAGAUUAAAACUCAAAGGAAUUGACGGGGCCCCGCACAAGCAGCGGAGCAUGCGGCUUAAUUCGACGCAACGCGAAGAACCUUACCAAGGCUUGACAUAUACAGGAAUAUGGCAGAGAUGUCAUAGCCGCAAGGUCUGUAUACAGGUGGUGCAUGGUUUGUCGUCAGCUCGUGUCGUGAGAUGUUGGGUUAAAGUCCCGCAACGAGCGCAACCCUCGUUCUGUGUUGCCAGCAUUAAGUUGGGGACUCACAGGAGACUGCCCGGGGUUAAACUCGGAGGCAGGUGGGGAUGA
rnacentral:rRNA from 1 species